rnacentral:rRNA from 1 species
GACUACGACGUUGAUAGGUCGGGUGUGUAAGCGCAGCGAUGCGUUGAGCUAACCGAUACUAAUGAACCGUGAGGCUUAACCUU